UACGAAGGGGGCUAGCGUUGCUCGGAAUCACUGGGCGUAAAGCGCGCGUAGGCGGCUUGUUAAGUCGGGGGUGAAAUCCUGGAGCUCAACUCCAGAACUGCCCUCGAUACUGAUGAGCUCGAGUCCGGGAGAGGUGAGUGGAACUGCGAGUGUAGAGGUGAAAUUCGUAGAUAUUCGCAAGAACACCAGUGGCGAAGGCGGCUCACUGGCCCGGUACUGACGCUGAGGUGCGAAAGCGUGGGGAGCGAACAGG
rnacentral:rRNA from 1 species